AGAGUUUGAUUCUGGCUCAGAUUGAACGCUGGCGGAAUGCUUUACACAUGCAAGUCGAACGGCAGCACGGGAGCUUGCUCCUGGUGGCGAGUGGCGAACGGGUGAGUAAUGCGUCGGAACGUACCGAGUAAUGGGGGAUAACGCAGCGAAAGCUGUGCUAAUACCGCAUACGCCCUGAGGGGGAAAGUGGGGGAUCGCAAGACCUCACGUUAUUCGAGCGGCCGACGUCUGAUUAGCUAGUUGGUGGGGUAAAGGCCUACCAAGGCGACGAUCAGUAGCGGGUCUGAGAGGAUGAUCCGUCACACUGGGACUGAGACACGGCCCAGACUCCUACGGGAGGCAGCAGUGGGGAAUUUUGGACAAUGGGGGCAACCCUGAUCCAGCCAUUCCGCGUGAGUGAAGAAGGCCUUCGGGUUGUAAAGCUCUUUCAGCUGGAACGAAACGGUACGCUCUAACAUAGCGUGCUAAUGACGGUACCGGCAGAAGAAGCACCGGCUAACUACGUGCCAGCAGCCGCGGUAAUACGUAGGGUGCGAGCGUUAAUCGGAAUUACUGGGCGUAAAGCGUGCGCAGGCGGAUUGUUAAGCAAGACGUGAAAGCCCCGGGCUUAACCUGGGAAUGGCGUUUUGAACUGGCAGUCUAGAGUGCGUCAGAGGGGGGUGGAAUUCCACGUGUAGCAGUGAAAUGCGUAAAGAUGUGGAGGAACACCAAUGGCGAAGGCAGCCCCCUGGGAUGACACUGACGCUCAUGUACGAAAGCGUGGGUAGCAAACAGGAUUAGAUACCCUGGUAGUCCACGCCCUAAACGAUGUCAACUGGUUGUUGGGGGGAGUGAAAUCCCUUAGUAACGAAGCUAACGCGUGAAGUUGACCGCCUGGGGAGUACGGUCGCAAGAUUAAAACUCAAAUGAAUUGACGG
rnacentral:rRNA from 1 species